UCCCAUAUUGUCUAGUGGUUAGGAUACCUGGCUCUCACCCAGGAGGCCUGGGUUCAAUUCCCGGUAUGGGAA
rnacentral:tRNA from 1 species